rnacentral:rRNA from 1 species
GCGAUGCAUUGAGCUAACCAGUACUAAUGAUCCGUGAGGCUUAACCUUACAACACCGAAGGUGUU